UACGUAGGGACCAAGCGUUGUUCGGAUUUACUGGGCGUAAAGCGUGCGCAGGCGGCUAUGCAAGGCAGAUGUGAAAUCCCCGGGCUUAACCUGGGAACUGCAUUUGUGACUGCAUGGCUAGAGUACGGUAGAGGGGGAUGGAAUUCCGCGUAUAGCAGUGAAAUGCGUAGAUAUGCGGAGGAACACCGAUGGCGAAGGCAAUCCCCUGGACCUGUACUGACGCUCAUGCACGAAAGCGUGGGGAGCAAACAGG
rnacentral:rRNA from 1 species